UGAACGCUGGCGGCGUGCUUAACACAUGCAAGUCGCACGAGAACACCGAACUUCGGUUUGGUAAGUAAAGUGGCGCACGGGUGAGUAACGCGUGGGUAAUCUACCCUUGAAUUUGGGAUAACAUUGCGAAAGCGAUGCUAAUACCGGAUGAAGUCAUAGUUGUUUAGGCAGCAAUGAUGAAAGAUGGCCUCUACAUGUAAGCUAUUGUUUGAGGAUGAGCCCGCGUACCAUUAGCUAGUUGGUGGGGUAACGGCCUACCAAGGCAUCGAUGGUUAGCUGGUCUGAGAGGAUGAUCAGCCACACCGGAACUGACACACGGUCCGGACUCCUACGGGAGGCAGCAGUGAGGAAUUUUGCGCAAUGGGGGAAACCCUGACGCAGCAACGCCGCGUGAGUGAUGAAGGCCUUCGGGUCGUAAAGCUCUGUCAAGUGGGAAGAACCCUGUGUAUAUUAAAAUGUACAUGGCUGACGGUACCACUGAAGGAAGCACCGGCUAACUCC
rnacentral:rRNA from 1 species